UACGGGGGGGGCAAGCGUUGUUCGGAAUUACUGGGCGUAAAGCGCGCGUAGGCGGCCCUUCAAGUCGGGCGUGAAAGCUCCGGGCUUAACCUGGGAAUUGCGUCCGAAACUAUGGAGCUGGAGUGUGGCAGAGGGAGGUGGAAUUCCACGUGUAGCGGUGAAAUGCGUAGAGAUGUGGAGGAAUACCGAUGGCGAAGGCAGCCCCCUGGGCCAAUACUGACGCUCAUGCACGAAAGCGUGGGGAGCAAACAGG
rnacentral:rRNA from 1 species